UGUGAACCAUACCAAACUGUUGCCUCGGCGGGGUCACGCCCCGGGUGCGUCGCAGCCCCGGAACCAGGCGCCCGCCGGAGGGACCAACCAAACUCUUUUCUGUAGUCCCCUCGCGGACGUUAUUUCUUACAGCUCUGAGCAAAAAUUCAAAAUGAAUCAAAACUUUCAACAACGGAUCUCUUGGUUCUGGCAUCGAUGAAGAACGCAGCGAAAUGCGAUAAGUAAUGUGAAUUGCAGAAUUCAGUGAAUCAUCGAAUCUUUGAACGCACAUUGCGCCCGCCAGUAUUCUGGCGGGCAUGCCUGUCCGAGCGUCAUUUCAACCCUCGAACCCCUCCGGGGGGUCGGCGUUGGGGACCUCGGGAGCCCCUAAGACGGGAUCCCGGCCCCGAAAUACAGUGGCGGUCUCGCCGCAGCCUCUCCUGCGCAGUAGUUUGCACAACUCGCACCGGGAGCGCGGCGCGUCCACGUCCGUAAAACACCCAACUUCUGAAAUGUUGACCUCGGAUCAGGUAGGAAUACCCGCUGAACUUAAGCAUAUCAAUA
rnacentral:rRNA from 1 species